UGGGGUGACUGCGUACCUUUUGUAUAAUGGGUCAGCGACUUAUAUUCUGUAGCAAGGUUAACCGUAUAGGGGAGCCGGAGGGAAACCGAGUCUUAACCGGGCGUUAAGUUGCAGGGUAUAGACCCGAAACCCGGUGAUCUAGCCAUGGGCAGGUUGAAGGUUGGGUAACACUAACUGGAGGACCGAACCGACUAAUGUUGAAAAAUUAGCGGAUGACCUGUGGCUGGGGGUGAAAGGCCAAUCAAACCGGGAGAUAGCUGGUUCUCCCCGAAAGCUAUUUAGGUAGCGCCUCGUGAACUCAUCUCCGGGGGUAGAGCACUGUUUCGGCUAGGGGGCCAUCCCGGCUUACCAACCCGAUGCAAACUGCGAAUACCGGAGAAUGUUAUCACGGGAGACACACGGCGGGUGCUAACGUCCGUCGUGAAGAGGGAAACAACCCAGACCGCCAGCUAAGGUCCCAAAGUCAUGGUUAAGUGGGAAACGAUGUGGGAAGGCCCAGACAGCCAGGAUGUUGGCUUAGAAGCAGCCAUCAUUUAAAGAAAGCGUAAUAGCUCACUGGUCGAGUCGGCCUGCGCGGAAGAUGUAACGGGGCUAAACCAUGCACCGAAGCUGCGGCAGCGACAUUUAGGUGUUGUUGGGUAGGGGAGCGUUCUGUAAGCCUGUGAAGGUGGCCUGUGAGGGUUGCUGGAGGUAUCAGAAGUGCGAAUGCUGACAUAAGUAACGAUAAAGCGGGUGAAAAGCCCGCUCGCCGGAAGACCAAGGGUUCCUGUCCAACGUUAAUCGGGGCAGGGUGAGUCGACCCCUAAGGCGAGGCCGA
rnacentral:rRNA from 2 species